AUACCUUUCUCGGCCUUUUGGCUAAGAUCAAGUGUAGUAUCUGUUCUUAUCAGUUUAAUAUCUGAUAUGUGGACCAUGUGUUCACUUUGAUAUUAAAUUUAUUUUUUGUGGGGGAGGGCUCACUACAGUAGCUUGCUACUGGGGUCCUCACGUGUCGCUUGGGCGUUGCACUAUAGUCCAAGCCUGGCGCACCCCAA
rnacentral:snRNA from 7 species